CUUGAUCGAGCCGAGCCACAGCGGGUUGCCGGGCUCCCGCUCCUGCCCGUAGGUGGUCAGCAGAGCCUGCACCUC
rnacentral:antisense_RNA from 1 species